CCAAUAGCGUAUAUUAAAGUUGUUGCAGUUAAAAAGCUCGUAGUUGAACUUCGGGGUUUACCCAUUGGUCAGGCUUAAUUGUCUGUACUGGUGAGAUGAAUCUCUACCUUCUGAGGAACUUUCAUGCCAUUUAUUUGGUGUGAUUGGAAAUCAGGACUGUUACUUUGAAAAAAUUAGAGUGUUUAAAGCAGGCUAACGUCUGAAUACAUUAGCAUGGAAUAAUGAAAUAGGACGGAUUGAUUCUAUUUCGUUGGUUUCUAGGAUCACCGUAAUGAUUAAUAGGGAUAGGUGGGGGCAUUAGUAUUCAAUUGUCAGAGGUGAAAUUCUUGGAUUUAUGGAAGACUAACUACUGCGAAAGCAUUUGCCAAGGAUGUUUUCAUUAAUCAAGAACAAAAGUUAGGUGAUCGAAGACGAUCAGAUACCGUCGUAGUCUUAACCAUAAACUAUGCCGACUAGGGAUCGGAAGAAGUUAAUUUUAUAAUGACGCGUUCGGCACCUUACG
rnacentral:rRNA from 1 species